GCGGGGCCAGGGCCGCGGGGCGGAGCCGGGACAGGGUCCACGGCAGCCGCCAUCUUGGCUGAGGGCAAAGACGCUCCUGGCGCUCCCGUCUUUCGGCUUGCCUCAGUUGCCACUGCCAUCUUGGAUCAGGGUAAUUCCCGCCUCUUGGGCGCUCCCGGUUACAACCUCGGCGCCAUCUUGGAUUAGUUCAAUGUAGCCACCCUCUCCAGGCCCGCUGCUUCUGCCAGCUGGAUGUUGCGUCGUCCCUCGCUAUUCGCCCUCCUAUAAUCACUGCUUCCAUGUUGAAUCAAAACAAUUAUGCUUUCGUUCUCCCUUCUUCAAUUGCCCUAUCUUCACACCUGAACACUAUUGCUCCGGUAUCCUGCCAUUUUGGAUCAGGGCGGUUGACGGUGGAUUCACUUCCCAUCAGCCCUUGAGGCUGCAGGGACCAGCCCUUUGUACAGUGGAGAAGCCCAGGCGGCCUAGAAUCCAGUGUCGUCCGUGAGUGCUUGGCUGGUGUUCAAGUGCAUCUUCCAGCCUGAGACCGCGUGGACUCGCUCAUCGUGAGGGCGAGAGGAGGAUAAGCCCAUUGGGCUGUCGGCUGAGAGUGAGGUGCGGGACCAUCCACAAUAUUGUUUGAACAUCUGAAGACAUGGGGAACUUGCCAUCUGAUAUCUGAUAACAGACUUCCUGUAAAGCAGGACUGGUAGUUUCCUGAUAACAAAUUCUUCAAUAUGAAGGAUAUAGCUGUGUCCUUUACAACUGGUAGCAUGGAAAGAAAGAGAAGUCUGCAAAGAUUGAACAAACAGCAUGCACUGUG
rnacentral:lncRNA from 1 species